rnacentral:sRNA from 1 species
GCUGGGUGUGGUGGCGCACCCCUGUAGUCCCAGCUACUUGGGAGGCGGAGGCAUGAGAGUCACUUGAGCCCAGGAGGCGGAGGCUGCAGUGAGUGAGCUGAGAUCGCGCCACUGCACUCCAGCCUGGGCAACAGAGCAAUAUCCUGUCUCAA